GCUGGGACAGACCCUGAGUGUUCGAGGAGAAGUUACUGAUGAGAAUGUAUUCUCUGUGGCUUUGGCCCAAGCAGUGGGGCAGUGGCCAGGGGCCAAGCUGUUGGACCAUGUCUGUGUGGAGAGCCACAUUCUGGACUCCUAUGAGGGAUCCGCCCCACACUACGAAGUGUUUGUGGAGCUGAGGGGCUUGAGGAAUCUGUCGGAGGAAAAUCGAGACAAGCCCUUCUCAUGUGCUUGGCCAAGGUACAGCAAGGGCUGAAAGUAUAGGCAGUGCUCCGGGAGCAGAUGAAGAAACCACAGCCUCGUUGUCUCGUGGUCUAGGCUGUGUCUUGCAAAACCUCCCGAAAGGCUGAGGCUAUGGCCCACAGUCGUCCAGUGUUUAAUACUCUUCCUACCAGCUCUCCUCCCAUCCCUCCAUCCUCUCUCCCUUGCCCACUCUAUCACUCUGUUCCCUGGAUCAAGUCCCAAAUAAAUUUUUUUAAAAAUU
rnacentral:lncRNA from 1 species